rnacentral:rRNA from 1 species
CUACGGGGGGCUCCAGUGAGGAAUAUUGCACAAUGGGGGGAACCCUGAUGCAGCAACGCCGCGUGGAGGAUGACGCAUUUCGGUGUGUAAACUCCUUUUAUAUGUCAAGAAAAUGACGGUAGCAUAUGAAUAAGCACCGGCUAACUCCGUGCCAGCAGCCGCGGUAAUACGGAGGGUGCAAGCGUUACUCGGAUGCACUGGGCGUAAAGGACGCGUAGGCGGGUUAGAAAGUCAGGUGUGAAAUCCUACAGCUUAACUGUAGAACUGCACUUGAAACUUCUAAUCUAGAGUAUGGGAGGGGGAGAUGGAAUUAGUAGUGUAGGGGUAAAAUCCGUAGAUAUCACUAGGAAUACCUAAAGCGAAGGCGAUCUCCUGGAACAUUACUGACGCUAAGGCGUGAAAGCGUGGGGAGCAAACAGGAUUAGAUACCCCUGUAGUC